GCCAACAAAGUGAAAAAGGCCAAUAAUGUCUCAGCAUUAUUAUGAAAAUAUAGUGAUGACCUUGUGGACCCUCCAAAAGGAUCUGGUGGACCCCACGGUGCUGCAGCCCACUCUUUGAGAACUGCUCAUCUAGGUCGUGUCUUUUUGGCCUAGUUUAUCCAUCAACUAAUUCCCAUCCACUUUCUUUCAGAGGUAUUUUGAAUUCUCUCUUUUGUUUUUUUUUUUCAGGGAAGGACUCAUCCUAAGCUAACAUCUGUUGCCGAUCUUCCUUUUUUCCCUCCCCGAAGCCCCAGUGUGUGGUUGUAUGUCCUAAUGUUUGACUCAGCAGGUCCAGGUGUUCAAACCCCACACAUUGCAGAGAACUUCCGGCCCUUGGCUGCUUCUGGGACAUCAUCUCGAAACCCUUGGAAUAUCCCGCCUCGUCUCAGGUAAUUCUUGAGAGCCGACCGUGUACUAGGCACCAAGGAUUGACAUUUUUGGUUCCUGCCUGGCUCCUGUUUUGGUCCAGCUUCCUCCAGUUCCUGGCAGUGGCUUCCUCUCUCCUGUUAGUUGCCUUCCUGCCUCAGUGCCUCAGACUCCGGCUACAGACCCCCGGCUCUGCCACAGUACCCAUGCUGCCUGGUUUUCCCAGCCUGUUCUUCCUGCUUCUGUCUUGCUAACCUCCUAGGAUGGAAGCCCUGACUUCAUUCUACCCCCAGGGCCUUGCUCUCGUACCUUAUCCCUCCCAAGGAGGUAACUGGGACAGGAACCGGUGAAGCCAUUAGCCAGAAAGAGCCAUGGGGCCUUUCUGUAAACUGGGCAAGUUUGAAUUUUCUCCUUUUCCAGC
rnacentral:lncRNA from 1 species